AUAGCUCGCUGAUCUUUUUACCUAAGGUCACGCCCAUCUCUCUCUCUCUCAUCCUUGACGCAUCUCAGCGGGCUUCCUCUCUUUCUCUCGCCUCCAGCGGCCGUCUGUGGACUCUCUCUCUCUCUUUUCUCAUUGCAAGCGGCAAGCCGUCAUGUCUGUCUCUCGUCUCCCAUCGUGUCCGGUAGCCACCAAAAGAAGAGGAGGCAUUCACAAAUUUCUCAAGUGAUUCGUGAAUACCGGAAAACUGCUUAUCGAAUGCCAAUGGCAGUUUUGGCAUCACGAAAGCAUUACUGCACUUACAAGCACAUACGCGGGAAAGAGAAUAUUGAUGAAGAAUGGUGCACUUCCGACCCAUAUGGCUUUUUUGUUAUUUUGUUUUUAUAAAUAAGAUUCCUUUCAUUUUUCAUAACUGAAAAUGGUUUUGGAAAUUUCCAGCAAGUUGCUUUUGAGUAAUCGAGAAAUAGGAUGCCCAAAAUUUAAGUGAG